CCGAGUUAUUCUACUCCCAAACCCCUGUGAACUUAUACCUUUACUGUUGCUUCGGCGGGUUAACGCCCCGGAAGGCCCGCGAGGGCCGCCGGAACCAGGCGCCCGCCGGGGGACCCAAACUCUUAGUCUUUGCAGCGGCAUUCUCUGAGUCUCACAAACAAAAAUGAAUCA
rnacentral:misc_RNA from 1 species